rfam:Podospora anserina genomic DNA, chromosome 1.
GGUCCGCUGGCGUAAUGGCAGCGCGUCUGACUACGAUUCUAACAAUCAGUUAAUCAGGAGGUUCCAGGUUCGACCCCUGGGCGGAUCG